GACGAACGCUGGCGGCGCGCUUAACACAUGCAAGUCGGACGGAAAGGCCUGCUUUCCCUUGUGGAUUGCGGGUACUCGCGUGGCGAACGGGUGAGUAACACGUGAGUGAUCUGCCCCCAACUUGGGUAUAAGCCUGGGAAACUGGGUCUAAUUCCCGAUAGGACUGCAGGGUGGUGCCUGUGGUGGAAAACGAUUUUCUAGUGGUUGGGGAUGAGCUCGCGGCCUAUCAGCUUGUUGGUGGGGUAAUGGCCUACCAAGGCGGCGACGGGUAGCCGGCCUGGGAGGGUGGACGGCCACAUUGGGACUGAGAUACGGCCCAGACUCCUACGGGAGGCAGCAGUGGGGAAUAUUGCACAAUGGGCGGAAGCCUGAUGCAGCGACGCCGCGUGGGGGAUGACGGCCUUCGGGUUGUAAACUCCUUUCGACCGCGAGGAAGCCACCUGGUUGGAAGGGUGGUGACGGUAGUGGUAGAAGAAGCACCGGCUAACUACGUG
rnacentral:rRNA from 1 species